UCGGGAAUUUUGGGCAAUGGGCGAAAGCCUGACCCAGCAACGCCGCGUGAGGGAUGAAGUAUUUCGGUAUGCAAACCUCGAAAGAAUGGGAAGAAUAAAUGACGGUACCAUUUAUAAGCUCCGGCUAACUACGUGCCAGCAGCCGCGGUAAUACGUAGGGAGCAAGCGUUGUUCGGAUUUACUGGGCGUAAAGGGCGCGUAGGCGGCGCGGUAAGUCACUUGUGAAAUCUCUGAGCUUAACUCAGAACGGCCAAGUGAUACUGCUGUGCUAGAGUGCGGAAGAGGCAACCGGAAUUCUUGGUGUAGCGGUGAAAUGCGUAGAUAUCAAGAGGAACACCUGAGGCGAAGGCGGGUUGCUGGGCCGACACUGACGCUGAUGCGCGAAAGCCAGGGGGGCAAACG
rnacentral:rRNA from 1 species